rnacentral:rRNA from 1 species
GUUGCCAGCACGUAAAGUGGGAACUCUGAAGAUACUGCCCGGUUAACGGGGAGGAAGGUGGGGAUGACGUCAAGUCCUCAUGGCCCUUAUGCCCAGGGCUACACACGUGCUACAAUGGCAUAUACAAAGGGUCGCGAUACCGCGAGGUGGAGCCAAUCCCAUAAAGUAUGCCACAGUUCGGAUUGGAGUCUGCAACUCGACUCCAUGAAGUUGGAAUCGCUAGUAAUCGCAGAUCAGCAUGCUGCGGUGAAUACGUUCCCGGGCCUU